GUGCCAGCCGCCGCGGUAAUACGUAGGGUGCAAGCGUUAAUCGGAAUUACUGGGCGUAAAGCGUGCGCAGGCGGUUAUGCAAGACAGAGGUGAAAUCCCCGGGCUCAACCUGGGAACUGCCUUUGUGACUGCAUAGCUAGAGUGCGGCAGAGGGGGAUGGAAUUCUGCGUGUAGCAGUGAAAUGCGUAGAUAUGCGGAGGAACACCGAUGGCGAAGGCAAUCCCCUGGGCCUGCACUGACGCUCAUGCACGAAAGCGUGGGGAGCAAACAGGAUUAGAUACCCUGGUAGUCCACGCCCUAAACGAUGUCAACUGGUUGUUGGGAGGGUUUCUUCUCAGUAACGUAGCUAACGCGUGAAGUUGACCGCCUGGGGAGUACGGCCGCAAGGUUGAAACUUAAAGGAAUUGACGG
rnacentral:rRNA from 1 species